CGCCCCGCGGCCGGCCGCUCCAGGGUUCCCCCGGCACCCGCCCCCGCGCGCCCUGCGCUCCCGCCCUUCCUCGUCGCCGCCCAGCCUGCCAGGCCUUUUGCGAACAUGGCGCUUGUCCCGUGCCAGGUGCUGCGGGUGGCGAUCCUGCUGUCCUACUGUUCUAUCCUGUGCAACUACAAGGCCAUCGAAAUGCCCUCGCAUCAGACCUACGGCGGGAGCUGGAAAUUCCUGACGUUCAUUGAUCUGGUUAUCCAGGCUGUCUUUUUUGGUAUUUGCGUGCUGACUGAUCUUUCCAGUCUUCUGACUAGAGGAAGUGGGAACCAAGAACAAGAAAGGCAGCUCAAGAAGCUUAUCUCGCUCCGGGACUGGAUGUUAGCCGUACUGGCCUUUCCUGUCGGGGUUUUCGUUGUAGCGGUGUUCUGGAUCAUUUAUGCCUAUGACAGAGAGAUGAUUUACCCGAAGUUGCUUGAUAAUUUUAUCCCAGGGUGGCUGAAUCACGGAAUGCACACAACAGUUUUGCCCUUUAUAUUAAUCGAGAUGAGGACAUCACACCAUGCGUAUCCCAGCAGGAACAGCGGACUUGCCGCCAUAUGUACCUUCUCUGUUGGCUAUAUAUUAUGGGUGUGCUGGGUGCAUCACGUAACUGGGAUGUGGGUGUAUCCUUUCCUGGAACACAUUGGCCCAGGAGCCAGAAUCAUCUUCUUUGGGUCUACAACCAUCUUAAUGAACUUUUUGUACCUGCUGGGAGAAGUUCUGAACAGCUAUAUCUGGGAUACACAGAGAACGCCUCUAUCUUGGCAAGGCACGUAAUCUUACCCAAGCUGUGCAAACCCCUGUCCAAAGCAUAUGUAAGAUAACAUAACAAAUGGGAAGGUGGAAAAAGCAACAGCACCGUAUGUAGUGGUUUGAGUCCUGCAUGAAAGUGUUUCCAAAGGCAAAAUGGUUUGGGAAUUUUGGAGAGUUCUGGGCAUCUCCGCCAAUAGAAUCACAACAUUCUAGACAUCCCUCACAAAUGAUCUCUGUUCCACAAACACUGAGCACCCUACGUUGUGCCAGACCCUGUGCCAGGAACCGGAUCUUAUUAGACAAAUAAAACACAGUCGUUGCAUGGUUACCAAAUUGGACUUUUUUGUGUGUGGACCUUCUAAGAUUGUGUGUCAAGGCAUUGGCCAAUGGUAAGUGGCCAGGAGGAAUUUAAGGAUUUCUUUUCUCGGCAGCUGGCUUAAUUUUAAUAAGUGGUCUAUUAGAAAAAGUGUCAAAAUGUUUCAUUCAGUUCAGACCACAGCUUGGGAAACCAGAAAUUAAUCUUUUAAUAAUUCCUUCUCUGUUUAAUGGGAAUAGUAAUCUUUAUUAGUUAACUUAUGAAAGUAUUUAGCUAACUUGCAGAAAUAUUUUGAGAACAAAAUGUAAACAUUUCUCAGCUUCUUGGGAGAAAGGCCAUAUUUAAAUGUAGGCUAAUAUACUUUCUAUAUGUUAUUCAGGAAGUAUUUAUGACUCUUUCCCCUUGAUUUAGCUUGAUUCCAAUGGUCAUUUGGCCAUUGUUCUGCUACUCCUAAGAGAAGAUGGCCUGAAGACCAGGAAAGAGAAAAAUCCGGUGUGGAUUCAUAGAAUGCUGCUCUUUAGCAGCUCUAAGUGAGAAGUUAAAAAUGAAUAGUGAAACUCAGGGUUUUUUUAAUGAUCUGUUCAAUUUAAUUUGGGCCAUUCUCUUAAGUAAGGUUGACUCAUAUUCCAUAACUCAUUUUAGGUAUGGAGAUUAAUUUUAUCUACAUGGGACCAUCUAGUUAAUUCCACAAAGGCAGAUGUUUCAUGUCAAGUGGACACAUUUUUCUCAUCUAUGAGAAGGAUUGCAAACUGAUGGCCUCCCCCCAAAUUUACUUGCCAAAAGUUUUGUUAGACCUACGUGGUGGGAUUUUUCUUUUUGAACCAACAUUUAAAAAUUGGGAGAUUAUACACACAGGCCAGAUUCACCAGCUUAUCAGAUACUUUUUUAAGAUCUGGCAACACCAGGCCCACCAAGCCCACUUAUGGCAACAAUGGAUCAGUUGCCCCCUUGAGCUGGCUCCUUAAGUGUUCCUAGUUUUCACCUGGCCACUUUGCUCCACUACAUUAGCUGCCUGUUUCCAUACAUGGUUAAAUUUGAAAGUGCUGAUUAAAAGCAGUAUGUGCCGUA